rnacentral:lncRNA from 1 species
ACGUUAAGAUGUCAUUAGUUAUAAUAGUAUUUUGAAUUAAUUACAUAUUAUUUUGUUGUUUAAUUUUUCUUCACGAUAAUAAAUAAUUGGUUUGAGAUCUCACAACAGCGACAUCGAUCAUGGCAAUUUAAAUUUGAGUACCUGUAGUAAUGUUAUUAUGCAUUGAUAUAUAUAUACACACAAACACACACGCACACAUAUAUAUGUGCAUAUAUAUAUAUAUAUAUAUAUAUAUAUAUUC